rnacentral:lncRNA from 13 species
CAUCUUUAUUGUUACCAGGGAUUAAAUUAAAGACUUUAAAAAAGUUAGAGUGAGCAUUUAGAAUUUGAAAUAGAAAAAGGUAAGACUGCAAUCCACCACCCUUUUAAACAUUAGAAGAAAUGUUCCUUCUGACUUUGAGAACUGGAUCAUGAGAGAGAACAGGCAUAAGCUGUGGCAAACUUAUUUUUAUGGAGCAGUCAUGAAGAAUGAGGCAGCUUCCGUGCUGCAAAGGGGAUUCCAACAGUAGUCUACUAAAUAAUUAUGAGUGGUUGAUCAGGUAAAAGCAGGAGAAAUGGGUAGACUUAGAAAGACAAAAACGUGUCCUUUAAAGGAAGCAAAGAUGUACCGAGAAGAAGGAAAAAGAAAUUAAAAGCUUAUUGGGAGAAAACAUUGAAAUAACACAAAAAAGAGGGGUGUGAAACGGAUGGUAACGUGCUGUGCAGUGUAAAGAAUGCUGGGAAGGGAGAUGUGGAAUGGAGACCAGCAAUGAUGAUUUCCUUCCCUGCCAGUAGCAGCAGCUCAGGAACCUUGGACCAGAUGAGUGAAAUCAUGAGCUCUGGCAAUGGGUACACAAAUCACCUCAUGAAAGGUGGGAGAGGAAAUCUGGGGCAUGUUGAUUUGUGGAGGUUUUCUCAUCGUGAGGUUCAGACAUCUGUUCAAGUUCAAAUCUGUGGAAUGUCACAGUCAGAUUUCACUAUAUGGAACAGGCAGGUUGUUAUGAGGAUUAUCCUGUCUCACGGAGUUUACCAAAACCUGAUACUAACAUCAUGUGCCUGUCUUGAUCUUCAUAACAGUGGUCAGAAUGACUCAGGCUGAGUAGAAGGUGGCUGAUGAGUAAAGCUGAUGGAAAAUAAGAAUUGCAUCUUUCUGGAAUUACCUCUGUAUCAGAAUCACUUUCCUCAAAGGAAGUAGGUAAAAGAAAUUUCUGUGAAAUGAAUUAUCAGUGUUAUUUUCCACUUAAAAGAGAAUAUUUGUACCUUGAGGUAUUUUUUGGAAACACUACAGUACUGUUUUGUGUCCAUGUGCACCACCAGUAUAUCUCAGAGAAGUCAAGAGUUCAGGAAUUUCAUGACACAUUUUGCUCUAGGGACCAGCAUCCUUGUCUGGAAAAUAUCUUCCAUCGUGCCUUGCAGUUGCUGUAGUCCUGUGAUGCUUCAAAGGUGUUGAUCUAGAUGACAGAAUAGUAUGGAUGGGUUUUGGCUUACUGGUCCCAAAACAAAAGCAAAUAAUGGUGAUAUCCAGAACACUGAUAAAUGUUGUGAAGAUCACAGUGCUUUACUUUUGAGGUUCUUCUGUGUUCUACUGUGAAAUACUGAUUAAAACCAUACUUCUGGUUGAUGUGGGAGGAUAAAUUCCUCGAAUGGUUACGGUGAUGCUAUGGAAUGC